rnacentral:rRNA from 1 species
GUAUCCUUACCUGAAUACAUAGGGUAAGGAGGCGAACCGGGGGAACUGAAACAUCUAAGUACCCCGAGGAAAAGAAAUCAACCGAGAUUCCGAAAGUAGCGGCGAGCGAAAUUGGACUAGCCCUUAAGCUUUACACGCGUUAGACGAACGGUCUGGAAAGUCCGACGAUACAGGGUGAUAGUCCCGUAGUUGACGACGUGUGUUCAGUGAAAUCGAGUAGGGCGGGACACGUGAUAUCCUGUCUGAAUAUGGGGGGACCAUCCUCCAAGGCUAAAUACUACUGACUGACCGAUAGUGAACCAGUACCGUGAGGGAAAGGCG